rnacentral:lncRNA from 1 species
GGGUGAGCCACAGCUGAUAGCUGGGCGCGAUCUGCCUGGAUUGUUACUGAAAUACUAACAUGCUCUUUAUGGGUUAGUAACUCCCUUCACCUCCCCAACGGCUCCUACCCGCUGGGACCUUCACCUCCCCAUGAUCCAACAGUGAAAGAUUUAAUACCCACAUGACAAGGGCCUUCCAGACAUGGUCCAGCUGGGGUCUGAUGCUGAUUUGGAUAGAUCCAUGGCAAACUGAUGAAGAAAUUUUGGUCAGAGAGAUGAAGUAGCUCUGCCAGUACACAGCAUGGAAUUGAAAGCAAUGGGCCUGGCACUGACUGAGAGGUACUCACAGCUUGGGGCAGACUCCCAUUUGGAGAUGGGAUCCUGAAGAAGCCUGGAUGUUUGUGAUGGCGGUCAACAGAGCUUCCAG